rnacentral:rRNA from 1 species
GACGAACGCUGGCGGCGUGCCUAAUACAUGCAAGUAGAACGCUGAAGGAGGAGCUUGCUUCUCUGGAUGAGUUGCGAACGGGUGAGUAACGCGUAGGUAACCUGCCUGGUAGCGGGGGAUAACUAUUGGAAACGAUAGCUAAUACCGCAUAACAGUAGAUAUCGCAUGAUAGCUGCUUGAAAGGUGCAAUUGCACCACUACCAGAUGGACCUGCGUUGUAUUAGCUAGUUGGUGGGGUAACGGCUCACCAAGGCAACGAUACAUAGCCGACCUGAGAGGGUGAUCGGCCACACUGGGACUGAGACACGGCCCAGACUCCUACGGGAGGCAGCAGUAGGGAAUCUUCGGCAAUGGACGGAAGUCUGACCGAGCAACGCCGCGUGAGUGAAGAAGGUUUUCGGAUCGUAAAGCUCUGUUGUAAGAGAAGAACGAGUGUGAGAGUGGAAAGUUCACACUGUGACGGUAUCUACCAGAAAGG